CCGGCCGCUCCCGCCGACGCGUCGACUCCGGGCGCCGCCUCCGCCGACAACAGCGCAGGAGCGCGUCCAUAUGUGAGCGGCCGCUAUGGCGCCGGGCGCCGCGACGCCGCCUCCCACGCCGGGAGACGCCAUUCGCCGAGCGCCGCGGCGCCCCACCCGCGCUGCCGCCAUGUUGUGCUGUGACGACACGAGCCGAGCCCACGUGGGUGCAGCCUCAGUGACGGCAUCAUGGAGUCUGGUCUGGCGCUGAUCUCGACAGUCAGCUGAUCGCACGAGACGUCACGCUCAGGGAAAACACGAGUUUUGAAGUCCCUCUGACCUCACACGUAACACCUAUCACCCUGCUGCCUCAACCCACACAGUUCUUUGUCGGUUGGAAGUUAAACAGCGCACCAAUGGAAAAGAAAGCUGCAAUAUAAUCUCGUACCCUGCAUGAUCGCAGCUACACAAUAGCCACACAGGCAAUAUAAAUAACUGGAGUGUUUUUGCUGUACUGGUUAUCUGAGGGGUUGAAAAAAGGAAAGAUGUCGUAAUAUACCGUCCCUUCGUUUUUUUCUUUUUUUUACCUGUGGAUCAUACAGCCACUGCCUGGCUUUUUAAGAUUUAUUACGAUUGGACACGGCAUUGUUACAUUUAUUUAAAACUUGUUAUGUGAAGAGUGGAAAUGGAAAACGUUCUGAGUGCCAAAUCUCACAUUUGUCAGGAAAAUAAAAAUCAGUAUUCCUCAAUUUAUACAUUACUGAUUUCUAUCCAAAAAUUGAGAACGUAUUCUGAUAGCACAGAAUAGUGCUACUUACCGCAUCACCGCAAAAAUAGUGAGACAAAUUGGGAAAUAAAUACUUUAUUAAGAACAUUCUACGUGUACCAACAGGAAACUGACUUUUCUAAUUACCAAGAAGAAAGUUUUUACAAGUUGACAUUUUGGAGACAGUGGCUGUGUACGAAACACACGUUGAUCCUUACAAAGAAGAAAACAGCAACCAGUCACUGUUAACAGUGCUGUUUACAAACUGACUUUUGGCUUCUGUCUCGGGUACUUCGGCCGACGUUCGUCUGAUGAUUUUUCUGACGUUUCGCCAGCACGAGUGGCUGUAAUUGUCAAAGUUCGCCCUCCACUGCUGGUGGUGGACUGUUUAAUCACAUAAAUUUCGCCGUCACCGGUUUCUAACCGACAGACUCGUCUUCAGACGACUGUUCACAUUUAUAUUUGUUGCUUUUUACAUUACUUGUUAGCUGUUUUUUUUUUCCAACAGCUAACGUAAACAACAUAACAAAUGUUACAUAUAUGAACCCGUCGGUUCGAAACCAGUGAUGGCGCUAUUAGUGUAAAUAAAGUUGCUGGCUCCUAUUUUCUUCUUUGCAAGAAUCAACGUGUAUUAGAGCUUACGCCGUAUACCAACGCAUGUGUGAAAGACUUUCUCCAUGGUUUGACAGCUGGACCAAGUCUAGGGACAUUCAACAGAGUACCGAAAACACAAUAGCACGUAAAACGCGUUUCACAUGAAACUGGCGCUUCGGACCUUUUCCAUUUUCACUUUUAAUGCUUUUAUGAAGAAAGAAGUUUGUCAAAUUAGUUGUAAUGUUUUAUUUCAUCUGGCUAAUUGUUGCAAUAGCUCCGUUUGCUGAUUUACAUACAGCCGACAUGCUAAGAGAAUGUGAUUCUGUAUCUCUUAUUAUUACUCUGCAACCGUCACAGAAACGAAUGUUUCACACUUCUAUUCGAUGGUUAUGACUGAAGAAUGAUUAAUGAUUGAAUCUCACGCGAAUUAAAAAACAUACAAUUUUUAUUCGCUUAUCUAUAAGGAAUCGGGGCUUCCAAGGAAUGUUCGAUGGCUGUUGUUCGUAAUAUUUCGCUGAGCUCUAAUGCGAACUACAGGGGUUUCGUGAUCGAUGGAACACAUAUGCCCCACUAAAGUAAUACGCAGUUUUGAGCGUUGGGACGUCUAUAUCUCAUAUCCGUAUAGUGUUACGAUAUAGCGCGAUGCUUUCGGACCACGGGAUGGAUACGUAGAAGGCUGUGGGCGAUCAAAUGAAGCGGCUUGUGUUUAGAGGCACAGUGCGUCUGUUUCGCGAAAAUCACAUCAAAUCACCUUCUUCUCCAUUCAAAGAAUAUCUAAAGUACCUAUCUGUAUUUUUUAUAUUUCAGAGACAUUGUUUUCAAACAUUACUGCACAUCUGAGUAAUUCGGCUGAUUUGUAUGUAGUAUAUGCCCCAGAAGACUUCAUAAAAUGUGGAAAACAUUGGUGUGUGGUAUGUCAAAGCCAUCUUCAAAUGUUAUGUUGUCAUCUUGUGUUCGAUAUUUCGUGUUUUCCAUUGUCAGCCAAAUAAAUGUGUCUUUGUACUGAUUUGUUAUAUUUUUCCCAUAAUUGCCAUUAUUUCAAAAUAAAAAAUAUCUCUGAAAACUCUAGAUUCACAUGAAAACAUGGAUCUAGUUAUGCGGACAUCCGACAAAACUUUUUGGAAAUAAUUGUACAGGGCGCCCAGUCAGUGUAACACUUAUUACGUAUUUCUCAUUUUUGUAUUUUCUUGUAAUGUUCAA